UGAUAAAUUAGUUUUGCGCUCCAGCAGGUCCGAAGACGAGACUGAAGUUUAUCGCGGCUUUGUUGCAAUGGUUGCUAUCGGUCUUCGUGCCUGAGCAGUUCGACCUCCAGCGGAGUUAAAAAGUUGCAUCGUGUUGUUUCGCUUACAACGGAGCACACGAAGUGCCCGAGAAACUACUCCAACACAGACGCGGGUUUUCACGGGUCAACAUCAGUCCUUCGGCAGCCGGAGCUAGCCUCAGAGACCUCUGUUUGUUUUUGGGUGUGGUAAUGAUCCUUCCGCAGGUUCACCUACGGAAA
rnacentral:misc_RNA from 1 species